UGGGGAAUAUUGCACAAUGGGCGCAAGCCUGAUGCAGCAACGCCGCGUGAGCGAAGAAGGCCUUCGGGUCGUAAAGCUCUGUCCUAGGGGAAGAAGAAGUGACGGUACCCAAGGAGGAAGCCCCGGCUAACUACGUGCCAGCAGCCGCGGUAAUACGUAGGGGGCGAGCGUUAUCCGGAAUUAUUGGGCGUAAAGAGUACGUAGGUGGUUUUGUAAGCGCGGGGUGAAAGGCAGUGGCUUAACCAUUGUUAGCCUUGCGAACUGCAAGACUUGAGUGCAGGAGAGGGAAGCGGAAUUCCUAGUGUAGCGGUGAAAUGCGUAGAUAUUAGGAGGAACACCAGUGGCGAAGCGGCUUCUGGACUGUAACUGACACUGAGGUACGAAAGCGUGGGGAGCAAACAGGAUUAGAUACCC
rnacentral:rRNA from 1 species